rnacentral:rRNA from 1 species
UCAAGCGCGAGAAGGGCGUUUGGUGGAUGCCUUGGCAGUAAGAGGCGAUGAAGGACGUGAUACUCUGCGAUAAGCUUUGGGAAGUCGAGAAUAGACGCUAUACCCAAAGAUCUCCGAAUGGGGCAACCCAACUGAUACUUUGUUAUUGUUACACUUUGUGUAAUCAAUAAUGGGGUAAAACAGUUAUUAAUUACCUGAAUACAUAGGGUUUUUAAAGCAAACCUGGGGAACUGAAACAUCUAAGUACCCAGAGGAAAGGAAAUCAAUAGAUACUCCCGUAGUAGUGGCGAGCGAACCGGGACCAGCCGAGCAAUGAAUGUGACUAGAACCAGUUGGAAAGCUGGGCGAUAUGGGUGACAGCCCCGUAUAGGAAGCAUGAUUUGACGUAUUAAGUAGGGCGGAACACGUGAAAUUCUGUCUGAACAUGGGGGGACCACCCUCUAAGGCUAAGUACUCCUUACUGACCGAUAGCGAACCAGUACCGUGAGGGAAAGGUGAAAAGCACCCCGACGAGGGGAGUGAAACAGUUUCUGAAACCGGACGCCUACAAACAGUUGGAGCCUCUUUAUGGGGUGACAGCGUACCUUUUGUAUAAUGGGUCAACGACUUGGUCUUACUAGCAAGCUUAAGCCGAUAGGUGUAGGCGCAGCGAAAGCGAGUCUUAAUAGGGCGAAUGAGUUAGUAGGAUCAGACCCGAAACCGAGUGAUCUAGGCAUGAGCAGGUUGAAGGUAAGGUAACACUUACUGGAGGACCGAACCCACAUCUGUUGAAAAAGAUCGGGAUGACUUGUGCCUAGGGGUGAAAGGCCAAUCAAACUCGGAGAUAGCUGGUUCUCCGCGAAAUCUAUUUAGGUAGAGCGUCGCACGAAUACCUUGGGGGGUAGAGCACUGAAUGGGUAAUGGGGACUCACCGUCUUACUGAUCCUAAUCAAACUCCGAAUACCCAAGAGUAAUAUGCGGCAGACACACUGCGGAUGCUAACGUCCGUAGUGGAGAGGGAAACAACCCUGACCCUCAGCUAAGGCCCCUAAUUCAUGGCUAAGUGGGAAAGCAGGUGGGACGACCAAAACAACCAGGAAGUUGGCUUAGAAGCAGCCAUCUUUUAAAGAUAGCGUAACAGCUCACUGGUCUAAUUUAAGUUAUCCUGCGGCGAAGAUGUACCGGGGCUCAAGCCAUGAGCCGAAGCUAGGGAUGCAAUUUAUUGCAUGGUAGCGGAGCGUUCUGUGAUAUAGAACGCUGCGUCUUUAGUAUCUUAGGAUAUUUUGGACGCAAUGUUCUGACUGUGAAGCCGGCGCGUAAGCGAUCCGGUGGAGUGAUCAGAAGUGAGAAUGUUGACAUGAGUAGCGACAAACAGGGUGAGAGACCCUGUCGCCGAAAGUCCAAGGGUUCCUGCUUAAAGCUAAUCUGAGCAGGGUAAGCCGACCCCUAAGGCGAGGCCGAAAGGCGUAGUCGAUGGGAACCAGUUUAAUAUUACUGGGCCAGGAGAUGGUGACGGAUCGAAAGCGUAGUGACUCCUUAUCGGAUUGAAGUUGCUGCCGGACGGUUCCUGGAAAUAGCCCUCCAUUAGAUCGUACCCUAAACCAACACAGGUGGACUGGUAGAGAAUACCAAGGCGCUUGAGAGAACUACAUUGAAGGAACUCGGCAAAAUGCCUCCGUAAGUUCGCGAGAAGGAGGCCCCAUCAGAAGGCAACUUUUGGUGGGGGGCACAGACCAGGGGGUGGCGACUGUUUACUAAAAACACAGGGCUCUGCGAAGUCGUAAGACGACGUAUAGGGUCUGACGCCUGCCCGGUGCUGGAAGGUUAAGAGGAGGUGUGCAAGCACUGAAUUGAAGCCCCAGUAAACGGCGGCCGUAACUAUAACGGUCCUAAGGUAGCGAAAUUCCUUGUCGGGU